GCUAAAGCCCUCAGGAGGGUGGCCGGAAAGAGCUCGCGAUGGGCGGCUCAUUUGAAGGGGAAGCCGGAAAUGGACCUGUGAAAUCCCAACGAGAGCUGUGAAGGAAGCGGUUGAUGCAGUGGGGACAGUGCAGAGGGCCAAACAGGAAUUCCAAGCCAAACUGGCAGUAAGCAGAGCGAGGGAAAUAGAGAGCUACAGAAAGCACAAGGCAUCAAACAAACCAAACGUCUAUCUCAUCCCCGGUCCCUGCUGUAGGCAAAGGAGAGUGGCUAAAAGGAGAAAGGGACUGGUGCACGCGUGGAGGGGGGUUCUUCAGAAGUCUCACUGUUGGAGCUCGGGAGACAGCUUAGUUAGUCGAGUGCAAGCAUGGAGGUGUGGGUCCAAUUCUCAGAACCCACCUAGGAAGCUGGGUGCCGUGGUGGCAGGUGCUUGUAAUCCUCGUGCUGGAGAUGCGGAGUCAGGUGGAUCCUCUGGGUUCACUGGCCAGCCAGGAUGGCCUAAGGACAUCAAGAAACCCCAUAGAUGGAUACUGCCCGAGGAAUGACACCAUACACACACACACACACACACACACACACACACACACACACACACACACACACACGAAUAGUUUCUGUAUUUGCAUUUGAAAGUAUCUUCUAGAGACUUAGAGUUGUUGAUUUGUUAUAGAAGGUAACUCACACAGAAGAUAACUAGAAAUCUCUCCUGCAUGGCUGUUUGUACAUCUCAGUGUGUUGUUAGUGAUCCAUCUGCUUACGCAAACUAUGACAAUUCUGGUUGUGGGCUUGACAUGGCGGUGCACGCCUUUAAUCCCUGCGCUAGGGAGGCAGAGGCAGGUGGAUUUCUGUGAGUUUGAGGCCAGCCUGGUCUACAGCGUGAGCUCCAGGCCAACCAAGCCUGCAUAGUAAGACCCUGUCCCAAAAUAAUCAAUCGAGAAACAAACAAACAAAAUUGCAUCUGUAAAUUCUGGACAUAAAAUGGUCCUGAAUCUUGACAAUAGCCAUUAUUUUUGAAGUGACUGGUUACUAAAAUUCAUUGUUAGUAAUAUACAAAAUGAAAUUCUUUUGUGGCAAAACAUUCCCUUCCCAGUGGUCUGUGGAGACAAGCACAAGGACUGAAGAUUUUCAUGGCAACUUCAGCAGCUUUCAAUUUAAGUAUUUCCCGUCUCGUCUCCAUUUGCAGCUUCCCAGAGGAGCACAGUGGCCACAUACAGCGACGCCUAAUUAUGAGGACCAGUUCUGACCUAGUUUAAUUGUUCUGGCAGGCAGUUGUGGAUGGGGGAAUAAUCUGAUGCGACACCAUGACCAGGCAUAUUAAAAGGACUUGACCAUACCAACUGCUAGUGAGGAGGUGGAGCAACUGGAACCAUUGUAUGUGCUGAGGAGAGGGCUACUGGACAUGGAUGCUAGAAAACUGUAUUUAGCCUGUGACACAAGCAUUUUACUCCCAGCUUUGUGACUGGGAUGACAGUUGGCUCGAUAUUCAAUUGACCACUGUAGAGGCAAGGAAGUCGCCAGAAGGCUGUAGACUGAAGUGGAUGUGUGGUGCUCAGAGACAACCUGUGGAACUGUUCUCCACCACGUGGAUCUCAACGAUCAAACCCAAUUCAUCAGACUUUGUGGCAAAGAGCCUCUACCUGCUGAGCCAUCCCAUCAGCCUCCAAAGUAGACCACAUUUUAGGGAUGCCUUGAGGCUCAGAUACCUUGGUGGUGGGCCAUAGACUGUGUUAAAUAGGGCAUUUUACCCGAUAAUCAAAAGCAUUUUUUCAAUGUUUCAUUUAUUUGCUUUGCAAACCUUUUACAUGUUGAAGUCCACAAUCUUGUUUAAUGAGCAGACUAUUAUUUGUGGAGAUUAAACUGAGUGUCAUGCUCUAUGAUUCUUAUAUCUUAAAUCACGUCCUAGUUUUCCAUGCUACAUUACAGGAUCAUUUUGAUU